rnacentral:rRNA from 1 species
AAUGAACGCUGGCGGCGCGCCUAAUACAUGCAAGUCGAGCGAGAAGACGUAGCAAUACGUUUGUAAAGCGGCGAACGGGUGAGGAAUACAUGGGUAACCUACCCUCGAGUGGGGAAUAACUAGCCGAAAGGUUAGCUAAUACCGCGUACGCUUCUUGGACUUCGGUUCAGGGAGGAAAGCGAUGCCGAGGGUAUCGCGCUCUUGGAUGGGCUCAUGUCCUAUCAGCUUGUUGGGAGGUAACGGCUCACCAAGGCUUCGACGGGUAGCUGGUCUGAGAGGACGAUCAGCCACACUGGCACUGCGACACGGGCCAGACUCCUACGGGAGGCAGCAGUAAGGAAUAUUGCGCAAUGGGCGAAAGCCUGACGCAGCGACGCCGCGUGGGGGAUGAA